rnacentral:rRNA from 1 species
GACGAACGCUGGCGGCGUGCUUAACACAUGCAAGUCGAACGGAAAGGCCCUGCUUUUGUGGGGUGCUCGAGUGGCGAACGGGUGAGUAACACGUGAGUAACCUGCCCUUUACUUUGGGAUAACUUCAGGAAACUGGGGCUAAUACCGGAUAGGAGCUCCUGCUGCAUGGUGGGGGUUGGAAAGUUUCGGCGGUUGGGGUUGGACUCGCGGCUUAUCAGCUUGUUGGUGGGGUAGUGGCUUACCAAGGCUUUGACGGGUAGCCGGCCUGAGAGGGUGACCGGCGACAUUGGGACUGAGAUACGGCCCAGACUGCUACGGGGGGCAGCAGUGGGGAGUAUUGCACAAUGGGCGGAAGUCUGAUGCAGCAGCGCCGCGUUCGGGAUGACGGCCUUCGGGUUGUGAACCGCUUUCGCCUGUGACGAAGCGUGAGUGACGGUAAUGGGUAAAGAAGCACCGGCUAACUACGUG